rnacentral:rRNA from 1 species
GACGAACGCUGGCGGCGUGCUUAACACAUGCAAGUCGAACGGAAAGGCCCUGCUUUUGUGGGGUGCUCGAGUGGCGAACGGGUGAGUAACACGUGAGUAACCUGCCCUUGACUUUGGGAUAACUUCAGGAAACUGGGGCUAAUACCGGAUAGGAGCUCCUGCUGCAUGGUGGGGGUUGGAAAGUUUCGGCGGUUGGGGAUGGACUCGCGGCUUAUCAGCUUGUUGGUGGGGUAGUGGCUUACCAAGGCUUUGACGGGUAGCCGGCCUGAGAGGGUGACCGGCCACAUUGGGACUGAGAUACGGCCCAGACUCCGACGGGAGGCAGCAGUGGGGAAUAUUGCACAAUGGGCGGAAGCCUGAUGCAGCAACGCCGCGUGCGGGAUGACGGCCUUCGGGUUGUAAACCGCUUUCGCCUGUGACGAAGCGUGAGUGACGGGAAUGGGUAAAGAAGCACCGGCUAACUACGU